rnacentral:rRNA from 1 species
GACGAACCGUGCAAACGUUGUUCGGAAUCACUGGGCUUAAAGGGCGCGUAGGCGGCUUGUCAAGUCCGGGGUGAAAUCUUUCGGCUCAACCGGAAAAGUGCCUUGGAUACUGGCAAGCUAGAGGGAGGUAGGGGCAUGUGGAACUUCCGGUGGAGCGGUGAAAUGCGUUGAUAUCGGAAGGAACGCCGGUGGCGAAAGCGACGUGCUGGAUCUCUUCUGACGCUGAGGCGCGAAAGCUAGGGGAGCAAACGGG